rnacentral:rRNA from 1 species
UCCAGACUCCUACGGGAGGCAGCAGUGGGGAAUAUUGGACAAUGGGGGGAACCCUGAUCCAGCGACGCCGCGUGAGUGAAGAAGUAUUUCGGUAUGUAAAGCCCUAUCAGCAGGGAAGAACAAUGACGGUACCUGGCUAAGAAGCACCGGCUAAAUACGUGCCAGCAGCCGCGGUAAUACGUAUGGUGCAAGCGUUAUCCGGAUUUACUGGGCGUAAAGGGAGCGCAGGCGGCGCGUUAAGCCUGGUGUGAAAGCCCGCGGCCCAACCGCGGGACUGCAUUGGGAACUGGCGCGCUGGAGUGCCGGAGGGGUAGGCGGAAUUCCUAGUGUAGCGGUGAAAUGCGUAGAUAUUAGGAGGAACACCAGUGGCGAAGGCGGCCUGCUGGACGAUGACUGACGCUGAGGCUCGAAAGCGUGGGGAGCAAACAGGAUUAGAUACCCCAGUA